UACAGCAGGUCCUCCGGCCCUAAGUGGGACUUCUAGGACCUAUUUAACAGCUGCGUCAGACUAAAAAUGUUAACAUUUUUUUUUACUAAUUAUCUUUUGCUGUUUGGGAUGCUUUGGAACGGUUGCUCAGGAGCCUUGGCCCACACGACCGGAACUGCUGCAACCUUCGCUGGAAUGCGGAGCCCCGCUUUGCCCCCAAGUUUACGGUGCUUCCAGCAUUACUCCUCCCUACAACAAAAUCCCUUCAAACCGAAUCCCCCGCUCCGGAGGACUUUAAAAACUGCAGGACUUCACCCUCUCCAUCACGAAGCCAAGGGAAAUCUGACCAAAAGGAUUUUCUUCCCAAAGGCGAAUACAUGGUUGAGAGCGCCGGCGGCGUGGGGGCCAUUGCCUUUUGUCAUUACGUAACUGUCACGACUCAGAACGGGGCAGAAAACUUACUUCCUAAGUGUCACAGCAAGACCCUAUGCUCGGCGACCACGUGGCCUAACGGAUAAGGCGUCUGACUUCGGAUCAGAAGAUUGAGGGUUCGAAUCCCUUCGUGUCCUCAGGAGCCUUUGGAUCUCUGCUGAUCUAUGACAAGUGUACUUCAGAAGGAUUUUCCAGCAUUUUUCACAAUAGCCAAGAUAUGGAAAGAAAUUGUGUCUGUCAACCGAUGAAUAGAUAAAGAAAAUGUGGUUGUAUAUAUAUACAAAGGAAUAUUAUUCAGCCAUGAGAAUGAAGGAAACCCCUGCCAUUCACAACAACAUGGACCUUGAGGGCAUUAUGCUAAAAGAGGUAAGAAACGUGACUGCAGAAGAGGCGAUACAAGGAAGAGGCCACUAGGUGAAAAAAAGCGAGGAAACAUUCUUCCCUGAAGUCUCCAGAGGGAACACAGCCAUGCUGACAACUUGAUUGUAAUCUUUUGAACUUCAGAACUGUAAGAGAGUAAAUCUGUGUUGUUUUAAGUCACUAAAUUUGUGGUAAUUUGCUACAGCAGCAAUAGGAAGCUAAGACAGAGGUUCUAAGACAUUGAUAUGACUGGGGCUUAAUAGGUGGAAGGAAGCUUGCAGGGCUUUUUCUGGAACAAUUUUUAGAAACCAGAGGCAUUCAUGGGGGCUCUUGUUUUGCUGUCACAGAGCACUGAAGGAUAUAUGUUCAAACUGUGGAGAGAGUCAACAGAAAGAAUUUAGAGUCCCACUGACAGCUGGGACUGCUGUAUUCAGAGACCAGAGGAUUAGCCAUCACACCAUGGGACCUUGGUAUAACAAACCUUCAAGGUUAAGACUUGUAUACUAAUGCAUCUGGUCUGUUGAUCUUUAAAAUGUUUCAGCAUAGAUUCAAUCUAAGGAAUAUUAAGAGAGAGCCUCCUCUAAGGGCACAGUGGAGGCUCUCAGAUGACUAUGAUAGCUAGGGUCUCACUCUAUGGUUUGGAUAUUUUCAGGUCUGUGUUCAGAGUUCUGCAGCCUACAGAGCAUUUGCCUGAGUUCCAGAGGAGAAAAAAGUCACAGGUGGGGCCUGUGACAUAUGAACUCUUAAUCACCCAAGCACAUAAUUGACUUAUAGGGAUCUGAUUGACUUUAGGCCGGCACCAGGCAAAGCAAAAGGCAUCAAGAGGAGAGAUUUUAGGGGGGAGGUGACGGUGAUGGGGAGAGGGAAAUUUUCAGUAGCCAGAGGAAAGAGCAAGGAGUUGGACGUUGAUGGGAGAGAAGAAAUGCAAGUUUAAGGGAGUGUCUAUACAUCAGAGUGUACUCCUGGUUAGGGAAAAUGUGAGGGCAAGGUCACCAAAACUGAGACAAGUCCACUGAGAUUUGAAGUCCAGGCGCUAACCAUUACAUCAUGAGGCCCUUGAAGUUAGGUCUCUACCAAAAGACUGAUGUGUACUCCUAACAGGUCAGUUUAUCUUCAAAAUAAAGUAGGCAACACAUAAGCUUGUGGAGUUUGAACAGAGCCUCUCAUGGGUACAACUCUAGGAUGUACUCAACAAGGGUACUGCUGUGUAGUAGGAACUUUCUCAGGACAGUGUUAGUGUUUGGAAGCCGAUGGAGCACUUUAAGUAGGCUCCAGGAAAGGAAGGACCUGAAUUAGAGGGACUGUAAAACAUGAACACCUAAUCAUUGGAACCAGGAUUCUAAUUUAGCAGAAUCUGAGGAACUCUGGGCAAAAGGCAAAAAGGGCCAUCAGGUGUAAGGGGAAGUAGGGCUAGAAUUCCGGAGGAAGGUAAUCAGAGACAAUCUUCUCUCGGGCAGUGGUUCUAUGUUGCUUUGGUUGUUGACUUGGAAGUAACUAGCAGCGCCUACAGCUAGAUAUGUACAUCUGGCUAACGAUUUAGGAGAACCAUAGGGGGAAAAUUGCUAAGAUGUUGCUGAGAUCCCAAAGAGAUUUGGACUCAAACUGCUAGAUUCAGAGCCCAGAGUGCUAACCGUGGGGUCCUUACAUGAGGAACUUUGUACUUGCUACUGCACUUUAUAUAUAUAUAUAUAUAAUAUAUAUAUAUACAAAUUAUAUAUAUUACAUAUAAAU